rnacentral:rRNA from 1 species
UUGGUUAAGUUAGAAAGGGCGCACGGUGGAUGCCUUGGCACUAGGAGCCGAAGAAGGACGGGACUAACACCGAUAUGCUUUGGGGAGCUGUACGUAAGCGUUGAUCCAGAGAUUUCCGAAUGGGGGAACCCACUAUCUUUAGUCGGAUAGUAUCCUUACGUGAAUACAUAGCGUGAGGAAGGCAGACCCAGGGAACUGAAACAUCUAAGUACCUGGAGGAAGAGAAAGAAAAAUCGAUUUCCUGAGUAGCGGCGAGCGAAACGGAAAGAGCCCAAACCAAGAAGCUUGCUUCUUGGGGUUGUAGGACACUCUAUACGGAGUUACAAAAGAAAGUUAUAAAUGAAGCGGUCUGGAAAGGCCCGCCAAAGACGGUAACAGCCCGGUAGUUGAAAUGGCUUUCCCUCCAGAGUGGAUCCUGAGUACGGCGGAACACGUGAAAUUCCGUCGGAAUCCGGGAGGACCAUCUCCCAAGGCUAAAUACUCCCUAGUGACCGAUAGUGAACCAGUACCGUGAGGGAAAGGUGAAAAGCACCCCGGAAGGGGAGUGAAACAGUUCCUGAAACCGUGUGCCUACAAGUAGUUAGAGCCCGUUAAUGGGUGAUAGCGUGCCUUUUGUAGAAUGAACCGGCGAGUUACGAUUUGUUGCAAGGUUAAGCGGAAAAAGCGGAGCCGUAGCGAAAGCGAGUCUGAAUAGGGCGCAUAAGUAACAGGUCGUAGACCCGAAACCAGGUGAUCUACCCAUGUCCAGGAUGAAGGUAAGGUAAUACUUACUGGAGGUCCGAACCCACGCACGUUGAAAAGUGCGGGGAUGAGGUGUGGGUAGCGGAGAAAUUCCAAUCGAACUUGGAGAUAGCUGGUUCUCUCCGAAAUAGCUUUAGGGCUAGCCUCGAGGUAAAGAGUCAUGGAGGUAGAGCACUGUUUGGACUAGGGGCCCUUCUCGGGUUACCGAAUUCAGAUAAACUCCGAAUGCCAUGUACUUAUACUCGGGAGUCAGACUGCGAGUGAUAAGAUCCGUAGUCGAAAGGGAAACAGCCCAGACCACCAGUUAAGGUCCCCAAAUAUAUGUUAAGUGGAAAAGGAUGUGGGGUUGCUUAGACAACCAGGAUGUUGGCUUAGAAGCAGCCACCAUUGAAAGAGUGCGUAAUAGCUCACUGGUCGAGUGACCCCGCGCCGAAAAUGUACCGGGGCUAAACAUAUUACCGAAACUGUGGAUGAACCUCUUUAGAGGUUCGUGGUAGGAGAGCGUUCUAAGGGCGGUGAAGUCAGACCGGAAGGACUGGUGGAGCGCUUAGAAGUGAGAAUGCCGGUAUGAGUAGCGAAAGAAGGGUGAGAAUCCCUUCCACCGAAUAUCUAAGGUUUCCUGAGGAAGGCUCGUCCGCUCAGGGUUAGUCGGGACCUAAGCCGAGGCCGAUAGGCGUAGGCGAUGGACAACAGGUAGAGAUUCCUGUACCAGUGCUAAUUGUUUAACCGAUGGGGUGACACAGAAGGAUAGGGAAUCGCACGAAUGGAAAUGUGCGUCCAAGCAGUGAGUGUGAGAAGUAGGCAAAUCCGCUUCUCGCGAAGCAUGAGCUGUGAUGGGGAAGGAAAUUAAGUACGGAAGUUCCUGAUUUCACGCUGUCAAGAAAAGCCUCUAGGAAGAGUAGUACUGCCCGUACCGCAAACCGACACAGGUAGAUGAGGAGAGAAUCCUAAGGUGAGCGAGAGAACUCUCGUUAAGGAACUCGGCAAAAUGACCCCGUAACUUCGGGAGAAGGGGUGCUCUAUUAGGGUGCAAGCCCGAGAGAGCCGCAGUGAAUAGGCCCAGGCGACUGUUUAGCAAAAACACAGGUCUCUGCAAAACCGUAAGGUGACGUAUAGGGGCUGACGCCUGCCCGGUGCUGGAAGGUUAAGAGGAGUGCUUAGCUUCGGCGAAGGUACGAAUUGAAGCCCCAGUAAACGGCGGCCGUAACUAUAACGGUCCUAAGGUAGCGAAAUUCCUUGUCGGGUAAGUUCCGACCCGCACGAAAGGCGCAACGAUCUGGGCACUGUCUCAACGAGAGACUCGGUGAAAUUAUAGUACCUGUGAAGAUGCAGGUUACCCGCGACAGGACGGAAAGACCCCGUGGAGCUUUACUGCAACCUGAUAUGGAAUGUUUGUACCGCUUGUACAGGAUAGGUAGGAGCCGAAGAGACGUGUGCGCUAGCAUACGAGGAGGCAAUGGUGGGAUACUACCCUGGCUGUAUGACCAUUCUAACCCGCCACGCUUAGCGCGUGGGGAGACAGUGUCAGGUGGGCAGUUUGACUGGGGCGGUCGCCUCCUAAAGAGUAACGGAGGCGCCCAAAGGUUCCCUCAGAAUGGAUGGAAA